GGGGGUGUCCCGGUAUUCGACUGGGUGUGGAACUCACUGAGAGCAAGCCGUGGGUGAUGAACGUCCACGUAAAUACGGUCAUCAAAAUUAUAGCUGCAAACAACAGCGACUACGCUCCGGCUCACGCAGCAAUCGCUGCCUGAGUAGGCGUCUCGCGGAGGUAGGCCCGAGGGCCUCCGUUGAGGUGUAACCCUUUACUUGGGCUGGUCUGACUGGGCUUCUGACGGUCAGAUGAGAUCAACUGGAAGUGUACAGUCGUGAGGCGGUCGAUUGCCGACACCGACUGUGAAAACGACAAGUUUCGACUAAGCUUGUAGCGCUUCGUGGGAAAGCAUAUCAGGACGCGAGUUCGACUCUCGCCACCUCCACCA
rnacentral:tmRNA from 3 species